rnacentral:rRNA from 1 species
UACAGAGGGGGCAAGCGUUGUUCGGAAUUACUGGGCGUAAAGUGUGCGCAGGCGGCACCGCAAGUCGAGUGUGAAAGCCCCGGGCUUAACUUGGGAAUUGCGCUCGAAACUAUGGUGCUGGAGUGUGGCAGAGGAAGGUGGAAUUCCACGUGUAGCGGUGAAAUGCGUAGAGAUGUGGAGGAACACCAGUGGCGAAGGCGGCUUUCUGGUCUGUAACUGACGCUGAGGCGCGAAAGCGUGGGGAGCAAACAGG